GGCCCGGUCGUCUAGUGUAGGACGCCUCGUUUUCAACGGGGAGACGGUAGUUCAUAUCUAUCCCGGGCUG
rnacentral:tRNA from 1 species